AAGCUCGUAGUUGAAUUUCGGGAUUUUAGUAGGCUGGUUAUGAACUCGCGAGCUGCAGGUUUAUGUACUGGUCUUACUAAUUCCUCCUUCCUGAUGAACUGUAGUGCCAUUAAUUUGGUGUUGCAGGGAAUCUGGACUGUUACUUUGAAAAAAUUAGAGUGUUUAAAGCAGGCUAACCGCUUGAAUAAGUUAGCAUGGAAUAAUGAAAUAGGACGUUCGAUCCUAUUUUGUUGGUUUCUAGGAUUGACGUAAUGAUUAAUAGGGAUAGUUGGG
rnacentral:rRNA from 1 species